rnacentral:rRNA from 1 species
AAUCAGAUUCAGUGAGAAAGAAACUCGGAAAGGACGUCUCGGGGUAGCUGGGCCGAAUUGGCCCGGACUACCUGGCCUCGGCUAGAUCCGGGGUCCGGGCGGAGGGAUGGCUUGGUUCGGGUACCGCCGAGGAAUCGUCCCGUCGCCCCCCUCGCUCCCUCCCUCCCGCCAGGCCUCCUUUUCCAACCCACCACUCUCGGAGUACAUACCCCUGUUGCUUCCCCGGGCGGGAAACCCCCCCGGGGAAGGCCCCCCGAGCACACGAUGCUGCCCAACCCACCGGUUGCCCCUCCGUCUGAAGGCCAGCGUGCCGAGGGAGAAGGAACGAGCGAUGAAACAGAAAAAACUUUCAACAACGGAUCUCUUGGUUCCCGCAUCGAUGAAGAACGCAGCGAAAUGCGAUAAGUAAUGUGAAUUGCAGAAUUCAGUGAAUCAUCGAAUCUUUGAACGCACAUUGCGCCCCCUGGCAUUCCGGGGGGCAUGCCUGUUCGAGCGUCUCCGGGAAGACACCUCACGCGAGUGAACGCGUGGUGAUGGCGGCGGCGGCGGGCCCGACAGGGCGGCCACCGCGCCGGAAUCCAGUGGGCGGACGCCUGCCGCGUGGCCGAGCGUGAUAUGACUCAUUGGCGCUCGUGCGCGGCGAGGCUUCCAGCCCCCGGCCCGUGCGUCGGGUGGGGAUAGCUAGACAUUGGAACUCCUCGAAUCAGGUGGGGAUACCCGCUGAACUUAACAUUC